CAAGUCGAGCGAGAAAGUUCCUUCGGGAAUGAGUACAGCGGCGGACGGGUGAGUAACACGUAAGAAUCUGCCCUAUAGUGAGGAAUACCCUCGAGAAAUUGAGGUUAAUACUGCAUAAGUCCCUACGGGGAGAAAGGCGUCUUUUAUGUCGCCGCUAUAGGAUGAGCUUGCGGACUAUCAGCUUGUUGGUGAGGUAAAGGCUCACCAAGGCUAUGACGGUUAACCGGCCUGAGAGGGUGUACGGUCACAUAGGCACUGAGAUACGGGCCUGACACCUACGGGAGGCAGCAGUGGGGAAUAUUGCGCAAUGGGCGAAAGCCUGACGCAGCGACGCCGCGUGGAGGAUGAAGGUCUUAGGAUUGUAAACUCCUGUCAGAUGGGAAGAAAGGUUUAUGUUUAAUAAACGUAGAAUAUGACGGUACCAUCAGAGGAAGCACCGGCUAACUUCGUGCCAGCAGCCGCGGUAAUACGAAGGGUGCGAGCGUUAUUCGGAAUCACUGGGCGUAAAGGGUGCGUAGACGGUAUGUUAAGUUUGUUGUUAAAGGCUCCGGCCUAACCGGAGUAUUGCGAUGAAAACUGGCAUGCUAGAGGGUGAGAGAGAGAAGUGGAAUUCCUGGAGUAGCGGUAAAAUGCAUGGAUCUCAGGAGGAACACCAAUGGCGAAGGCAGCUUCUUGGCUCAUACCUGACGUUGAGGCACGAAAGCGUGGGGAGCAAACAGGAUUAGAUACCCUGGUAGUCCACGCCGUAAACGAUAAUCACUAGAUGUUGGUUCGGCUUAGCUGGAUCAGUGUCGUAGCUAACGC
rnacentral:rRNA from 1 species